UAAGCUCUGGUUAAAGCCCUGACCUCAUGUGUUGAUGACUCUUCACCUCUGUCUCCUCUCACAUGGAGAAGAUGAUCUGCAGGAUCCUGCUGCUCAUCAUCCUCACCUCAUGUGUCUCUGGAUCAUUUGUAGUCAAUGUGACACAGACCUGCUAUCAGGCAGAGGAGAACCACAACAUCACACUGGAGUGGACGUUCACCACCAAACCUGACAGAUCCACCAAAACUCUCAACAUCCUCUGUGAACUCUUCAUCAGUGAUAAACUCUCAGGAUGAAAGUCUCAGGAUGAAACGUUUUCAGGACGAGUCCAGAGUGACAAAGACGCCCUCAGAGAAGGACGAAUCAGACUUCAACUGUGCAGACUCAGGACUGAUGACUCAGGUCUGACCUCACCUGUGUGAGGUCAACACAGAUUAUGGCUUCAGUGUUGGAAGAUGUCAACUUAAUAUCACUGCCAUGAGACCUGAAAGAAAACCUGAGACAUCAAACACAGAGAGUCAAGGAAGGAUUGACCUCUACUCUGGACUAAUGGCAGCUCUGCUUCCUUUAUUUAUUUAAAAGAAUAAAUAUGUUUA